CGGUGGCCCCUUAACACCCCCAACAACCCAGCCUCCAGAAAAUACACAAAAUUCCACUUACGUUGUCUCCAUAUAACAACUCGUGUUGUCAUCGGGAGGACUGACCAAGCAAACUGCUGGUAUCCUGAAGAGAAGACGUACAGUGAGGUUGUAGCAAUGGGAGGUCCAACACGUCAGCAAGUUCUGCAGCUAUACAAGGCACUGCUCACCUAUGGCAAAACAUUGGAGCUGACUGAUCAGGAGUACUUUCGGAGACGAAUAAGACAAGAAUUCGAACAAAACAAAGAUAUCGUUCUGCCUCAAAAAAUUGAAUUUUAUUUUGAGAAGGGUUUAAGUUUCUUGUCAAAGCAACGACUUACUUAAUUUUAGUUUUUCUUGCCCUCUGAUAUUUAUUGUACAGUAUAGUGUUGCAGUGUAUGACCCUUGUAGGUUUAGUGCUUCUUUUUGAUAAUCAACAGUACAUGUAUAGUAUAAUGACAUGAACUAUAUGUGCCAUCUGUGUUUUUUCUCGUAUUUUACUUGGCUUAACAUUAUAUGUUCAUGUAUAUUGAUGCUUGUACAUCAUUACAUAUAGUGCAGAGUUAUGCACAAGUUCAAAAUACAGAUUAUACAAAUUCUUAAAAA